UGCAGUCGAGCGGUAGAGAGAAGCUUGCUUCUCUUGAGAGCGGCGGACGGGUGAGUAAUGCCUAGGAAUCUGCCUGGUAGUGGGGGAUAACGUUCGGAAACGGACGCUAAUACCGCAUACGUCCUACGGGAGAAAGCAGGGGACCUUCGGGCCUUGCGCUAUCAGAUGAGCCUAGGUCGGAUUAGCUAGUUGGUGAGGUAAUGGCUCACCAAGGCGACGAUCCGUAACUGGUCUGAGAGGAUGAUCAGUCACACUGGAACUGAGACACGGCCCAGACUCCUACGGGAGGCAGCAGUGGGGAAUAUUGGACAAUGGGCGAAAGCCUGAUCCAGCCAUGCCGCGUGUGUGAAGAAGGUCUUCGGAUUGUAAAGCACUUUAAGUUGGGAGGAAGGGCAUUAACCUAAUACGUUAGUGUUUUGACGUUACCGACAGAAUAAGCACCGGCUAACUCUGUGCCAGCAGCCGCGGUAAUACAGAGGGUGCAAGCGUUAAUCGGAAUUACUGGGCGUAAAGCGCGCGUAGGUGGUUUGUUAAGUUGGAUGUGAAAUCCCCGGGCUCAACCUGGGAACUGCAUUCAAAACUGACUGACUAGAGUAUGGUAGAGGGUGGUGGAAUUUCCUGUGUAGCGGUGAAAUGCGUAGAUAUAGGAAGGAACACCAGUGGCGAAGGCGACCACCUGGACUAAUACUGACACUGAGGUGCGAAAGCGUGGGGAGCAAACAGGAUUAGAUACCCUGGUAGUCCACGCCGUAAACGAUGUCAACUAGCCGUUGGGAGCCUUGAGCUCUUAGUGGCGCAGCUA
rnacentral:rRNA from 1 species